UACGGAGGGGGCUAGCGUUGUUCGGAAUUACUGGGCGUAAAGCGCACGUAGGCGGCUUUGCAAGUCAGAGGUGAAAAGCCCGGGGCUCAACCCCGGAAUUGCCUUUGAGACUGCAUCGCUAGAAUUGUGGAGAGGUAAGUGGAAUUCCGAGUGUAGAGGUGAAAUUCGUAGAUAUUCGGAAGAACACCAGUGGCGAAGGCGACUCACUGGUCCGGUACUGACGCUGAGGUGCGAAAGCGUGGGGAGCAAACAGG
rnacentral:rRNA from 1 species